AAAAAAAAAAAAAAAUAUUGUACUCUAUAUAAGAAGGCAUACAUCAUAUACUGUAGACAAUAAUUAAAUACACAAGAAGAUUCACACUCUAUCCAAUGAUGGCAGCAGACUCUAGAGGUGCCUACUUACUACACAUGAAGUCUGCUUGUGUUUCACUCAAGUGAUAGUUUUUUUUUGUUGGUGAGUUUAUAUAGUUGCUAAUUGAUACUUAUUUAUAUAUGAUUGUACAUAGUUUAUAAACAUUCUCUAUUAUACAUGUACGAGUCUGGGCAGUUCUGUAUGUGUCUGUUGCUGAGAUUUCCAAGAGAGUGAUUCUUGCUAAAAGCUUACAGUGUUCAUUUGAAGUUCUGUUAGUUAAUGGCCACAAAUAAAUUUUUUUUGUUUACCUUGACUUCUAUAAUAAAAGCUGCUUUGAAAGAAUUCUUUGAAUUUUAAUUUUAGAUACAAAAUUUAACCCAUUUAUUCUAUGAUUUUUAUUUAACUCUUUCUCUCCUAAAUAACGAUACCAAUGUUGAUUCCACAGAAUGUGGUAAAUAAUUACGGAAAGAGUUAAAUUUUAACUACCAGCAACUUUUUUACAUUUAUUCUGAUUUCCUAAGAACUAUUUCAAAUAGAUAAGUUAUUUUUACAUGUAAAUAUAUCAUUUAUUGAACAUUACAACUAAUCAAUUGCAUCACAAUAGUUUAACCAAAGUUCGUUUACAAUGCUGGUAUUUAUAAUUGGAUGUGGGACUUCAAAUAAAUAUUAAGGUUAUAAUUUGUAAAAUUCAUAUUUGUAUUAAACUCUGCUGAAGAUCUAAAAAAAAAAAACGUUUUUAGUUCAACAGCAUAAAACAAUUAUUUAUUUUAAAUUAAAAUUUUGUUAAGUCAUGUGAUCAGGGACAAAAUCAAGUUCUUUUGAAAAUCAAAAUUUUAUUUGUAGUAAUUUUUUUGUUUUCCUUCUGGGAACUGUUUCUAAUGGCAUUGCUAUUGAACUUCUGGCUCUUUCCUUAAGUUCAUUUUUUUGACCUUUUGAUUUUGAGAAUGCUUCAUUCAGACUUGUAAAGAGGGCUGUUGACAAGUAGUUUCUUUCGGAAGAGGCAUCUUUCGACAAUCAGAUCUUAAGGAAAGAUAAGGGCAGAUAACCUUUUCGUGAUAUUUUGUUGCUGUCCACAGCAGAGUUGUGGAAUGAUAUAGUUGUCCAAACAACUGGUCUCUACAUAGGGAGUUUUAUCUUUUCCUUGCUAAGUUCUGUACAAGUUUGUGUGACCACCAUAACUUUUGUCUUGUUUUGUAUAUAAACCUCUUAGCUUGUAUACUUUUUUUUUUUGGUUCAUAAAUUGAAAAAGAAAGUUUUGUAUUUAUUCCCAUCUGGUUAGUUGUGUAUAAUCAAUCAUAUGUAGAUAAACCAAUUUUUGCCAGUUCAUUUAUCCAGUUGAUCUGAUUUUUGAAAAUAAACAUUUUUGACACUCAAU